CUCUCUUGUGAUGAGACCCUUACUGCCCCAGUCUGAUAUCUGUGACUGAAUGGUUCCCUCUGAGCCCAG